UACGUAGGUGGCAAGCGUUGUCCGGAUUUACUGGGCGUAAAGAGCGCGCAGGCGGUCGGAUAAGUCGAAUGUGAAAGCCCCCGGCUCAACUGGGGAGGGUCAUUCGAUACUGUUCGACUCGAAGGCAGGAGAGGGAAGUGGAAUUCCCGGUGUAGUGGUGAAAUGCGUAGAUAUCGGGAGGAACACCAGUGGCGAAGGCGGCUCACUGGACGACUGAUGACGCUGAGGUGCGAAAGCGUGGGGAGCGAACAGG
rnacentral:rRNA from 1 species